rnacentral:rRNA from 1 species
GAUGAACGCUGGCGGCGUGCCUAAUACAUGCGAGUCGAGCGAACAGACGAGGAGCUUGCUCCUCUGACGUUAGCGGCGGACGGGUGAGUAACACGUGGAUAACCUACCUAUAAGACUGGGAUAACUUCGGGAAACCGGAGCUAAUACCGGAUAAUAUAUUGAACCGCAUGGUUCAAUAGUGAAAGACGGUUUUGCUGUCACUUAUAGAUGGAUCCGCGCCGCAUUAGCUAGUUGGUAAGGUAACGGCUUACCAAGGCAACGAUGCGUAGCCGACCUGAGAGGGUGAUCGUCCACACUGGAACUGAGACACGGUCCAGACGCCUACGGGAGGCAGCAGUAGGGAAUCUUCCGCAAUGGGCGAAAGCCUGACGGAGCAACGCCGCGUGAGUGAUGAAGGUCUUCGGAUCGUAAAACUCUGUUAUUAGGGAAGAACAAAUGUGUAAGUAACUAUGCACGUCUUGACGGUACCUAAUCAGAAAGCCACGGCUAACUACGUG